CUUUUCUUGGAUUUGAUUCUGGUCCAGAGUAAACGCUUGAGAUAUGUUGAUACAUGUUAGUUAAACGUGAAUAUUUGGUUUUUAUGCCAACUUUAUUUAAGUAGCGUAUAGGUGAGUAAUAUGCAAGAAUCCUACCUUUUAGUUUAUGUAGCUCGUAAAUUUAUAAAAGAUUUUUUCGCUAAAAGAUGGGCUUGCACAAGAUUAGGUUUUUGGUUUGCUAAAAACGUUCCAAGCCUAAGAUCUUUAGCCGGCUUUCGUGAGUGACCGGCCACAUAGGGACUGAGACAAUGCCCUAGCUCCUUUUCUGGAGGCAUCAGUACAAAGCAUUGGACAAUGAACGAAAGUUUGAUCCAGUAAUAUCUCGUGAAUGAUGAAGGGUUUUUGCUCGUAAAUUUCUUUUAGUUGAAAGAAAAAAGAUAUAUUUCAACAGAAAAAAUCCUGGCAAAUCCUCGUGCCAGCAGCCGCGGUAAUACGAGAAGGGUUAGCGUUACUCGAAAUUAUUGGGCGUAAAGUGCGUGAACAGCUGCUUUUUAAGCUAUAGGCAGAAAAAUCAAGGGUUAAUCUUGUUUUUGUCAUAGUUCUGAUAAGCUUGAGUUUGGAAGAAGAUAAUAGAACAUUUUAUGGAGCGAUGAAAUGCUAUGAUAUAAAAGAGAAUACCAAAAGCGAAGGCAGUUAUCUAGUACAAAACUGACGCCUAUACGCGAAGGCUUAGGUAGCAAAAAGGAUUAGGGACCCUUGUAGUCUAAGCUGUCAACGAUGAACACUCGUUUUUGGAUCACUUUUUUUCAGAAACUAAGCUAACGCGUUAAGUGUUUCGCCUGGGUACUACGGUCGCAAGACUAAAACUUAAAGAAAUUGGCGGGAGUAAAAACAAGCAGUGGAGCGUGUGGUUUAAUUCGAUAGUACACGCAAAUCUUACCAUUACUUGACUCAAACAUUGAAAUGCACUAUGUUUAUGGUGUUGUUUAAGUAUUAUUUUACUUAUAGAUGUGCAGGCGCUGCAUGGUUGUCGUCAGUUCGUGUCGUGAGAUGUUUGGUUAAUUCCCUUAACGAACGUAACCCUCAAAGCAUAUUCAAAACAUUUUGUUUUUUUGUUAAACAGUCGGGGAAACCUGAAUGUAGAGGGGUAGACGUCUAAAUCUUUAUGGCCCUUAUGUAUUUGGGCUACUCAUGCGCUACAAUGGGUGUAUUCUACAAAAAGACGCAAAAACUCUUCAGUUUGAGCAAAACUUGAAAAGCACCCUCUAGUUCGGAUUGAACUCUGGAACUCGAGUUCAUAAAGUUGGAAUUGCUAGUAAUCGUGAGUUAGCGUAUCGCGGUGAAUCGAAAAUUUACUUUGUACAUACCGCCCGUCAAGUACUGAAAAUUUGUAUUGCAAGAAAUUUUUGGAGAAUUUACUUAACUCUUUUUUUUUUUAAGUUGGCUGUAUCAGUCUUUUAAAAACUUUGAGUUAGGUUUUAAGCAUCCGAGGGUAAAAGCAACAUUUUUUAUUGGUAUUAAGUCGUAACAAGGUAGCCCUACGGGAACUUGGGGCUGAGUAAAAUUAGCA
rnacentral:rRNA from 1 species